rnacentral:rRNA from 1 species
GUAGUCUGCAACUCGACUACAUGAAGCUGGAAUCGCUAGUAAUCGCAGAUCAGAAUGCUGCGGUGAAUACGUUCCCGGGUCUUGUACACACCGCCCGUCACACCAUGGGAGUCGGAAAUGCCCGAAGCCGGCGACCAAACCAAUAAGGAAGGAGCCGCCGAAGGCAGGUCUGAUAACUGGGGUGAAGUCGUAACAAGGUAAC